rnacentral:misc_RNA from 1 species
GCUAAACCUGGAAUAAUUAUCAAAAGCUCUGGAAGAUUAUAAACACCUAAUGGAAACAAUCUUUCCUGCUUUCUUAGCGUGUAACACCCACUUCUGCAUAUAACAUAUAUUAGGGCUUUGAAAAUGUAGCAUAAAUUCACUCCAUUCCUAAUUUAAAAAAAAAUGGCCUGAUAAUUCAACAUCAAACACUGGAAUUAUUUU